UACAUAGAUGUCUGGAACUUUUAUUAUGUA
rnacentral:piRNA from 1 species